CACUGUUGACAAUGUCAAAGUUGGCAGGAGAUACAGCAAGUAUAAUGGAAUUGGGACGGCUGAUGUAUUCCAUAAUAAGAGAGCGUGUUUGAGCCUCAAUAUCAGUAGGCUGAUCUCCAACGGGAAUUUUUGUAAGCCCAGGCAAAUCAAUUAAAGUUAAGUUCAAAACGCGAGUAGAAUAAAUUUUUAGAUUGAUUGGCAAUUUGUUAAUUCCUUUGU